GAUUACGGCCACACCUCCCUGAGCACGCCCGAUCUCGUCUGAUCUCGGAAGCUAAGCAGGGUCGGGCUCCGGUAGUACUUGGAUGGGAGACCGUCCUGGGCACUACCAGGUGCUGUAAGCC
rnacentral:rRNA from 1 species